rnacentral:rRNA from 1 species
GACGGAGGGGGCAAGCGUUGUCCGGACUCACUGGGCGUAAAGCGCACGUAGGCGGUUGGGUGCGUCGCUGCUGAAAGCGCCAGGCUUAACUUGACGAGGCGUGGCGAUACGACCUGACUCGAGGCAGGCAGAGGGUGGCGGAAUUCCGGGUGUAGUGGUGAAAUGCGUAGAGAUCCGGAGGAACGCCUGUGGCGCAAGCGGCCACCUGGGCCUGACCUGACGCUGAGGUGCGAAAGCGUGGGGAGCGAACCGG